rnacentral:rRNA from 1 species
UACGUAGGGGGCAAGCGUUGUCCGGAUUUAUUGGGCGUAAAGAGCGUGUAGGCGGCCGUACAGGUCAGCUGUGAAAACUCGAGGCUCAACCUCGAGACGUCGGUUGAAACCGUACGGCUAGAGUCCGGAAGAGGAGAGUGGAAUUCCCGGUGUAGCGGUGAAAUGCGCAGAUAUCGGGAAGAACACCCGUGGCGAAGGCGGCUCUCUGGGACGGUACUGACGCUGAGAGGCGAAAGCGUGGGGAGCGAACGGGG